AUACAUACUGCGUAAAAUAACAUUGAGAGAUUAUUCUGCUUAACACCAUUAUCAUUGCGGGAUUUAAAUUUUUUGUUUUAAAGUCGUUCGACACAUGACAUUGCUUGAUCUUGCAUUUUAACGUUGAUACAGGAGACGGGAAAUCCUAUGCUUCUUAAAUACCUGUGUUGUCAUAGAAACAAGACAACAACUUUUGUACCUGGAGUCCACUAGCAAUUCGGGACAGUAAGGAUUAACAUCUAAAAAUGGGCUGUAGUAAUACAAAGACUGCCGAAUCUGGGACCACAAAUAAACCCCAGGAAAAUGGGGGUGGACAAACAGAAACAACAACAGAUCAAAAACCAGAGGAGAACACUGGACAACAAAACACAGCAACAGAACAACAACAAUCAGCGGACUAGCUUAUCAUUGGCUAACAGACAGAGAUGAGCUCAACACUAUAACUAUUUCUCACAAUUUUCUUCUGACAUGGUUUUAUAAUGGUCUUCAGUAUCUAAAGAAAUUAAAUUGCUAUCCAGACAGUUCUACACUUUCGAUCCUGCAACAGUAUUAAUUAUUCCGUUACGUCAUUGGCAGAAUUUCCAUUGUUUAGAACAUUUCGAACCAAUCACAACGUUUUGGUGUACGCUUUGGAAAAUAUUACCAAGAAUGUACUAUAUUCUGAGUUCUAUGCCAUUGAUCGUUUAACAGUAUUAAUGAUUCCGUCCAGAAUUUGUGAUAUUAGUAGUAGUAUUUAUAUAAUUGUGGUAGAGAAAUGUUUCGAUCAGAUGUAACGCAAAUUAAUUAUUUACUGUUAUGUAAGUUAUUAUAAUAAAUAUUUUCUUUA